rnacentral:rRNA from 1 species
AGCGAACGCUGGCGGCAGGCCUAACACAUGCAAGUCGAGCGCGUGUAGCAAUACACGAGCGGCAGACGGGUGAGUAACACGUGGGAACGUGCCCUUUGGUUCGGAAUAACUCAGGGAAACUUGAGCUAAUACCGGAUAAGUCCGUAAGGAGAAAGAUUUAUCGCCGAAGGAGCGGCCCGCGUCCGAUUAGCUAGUUGGUGGGGUAAUGGCCCACCAAGGCUACGAUCGGUAGCUGGUCUGAGAGGAUGACCAGCCACACUGGGACUGAGACACGGCCCAGACUCCUACGGGAGGCAGCAGUGGGGAAUAUUGGACAAUGGGCGCAAGCCUGAUCCAGCCAUGCCGCGUGGGUGAUGAAGGCCCUAGGGUUGUAAAGCCCUUUCGGCGGGGAAGAUAAUGACGGUACCCGCAGAAGAAGCCCCGGCUAACUUCGUGCCAGCCGCCGCGGUAAAAC